rnacentral:lncRNA from 1 species
UUAGUCUUUGGACCCCCUCCAGUGUGAGCAUUACUUGGGCAAUUACUUUCCCCGUAAUGUAGCAGAUGCAAGUUAACAGAUACUGAAACUACACAAGACCUUAGACAGAUAAACAUGUACCAGCGUGACUUUGAGCAGUCAGGACAAUAGAGAGGACUUUUAAUGCACAAAAGCAGAACAAAGGAUCAAAUCACACUAAUAAAUCAAAUCAGAACAAAAACGAAAGCCUCGAGUGUGUGUUCGAGGAAGCCCAGACGCAGAAGGAAUCCAGAGGAGUGAUGCGCUGAGCGGGGUCCCGGGCUUCCAUCUGUCAGAAUCACUCAUUCCAGAGCAGCAGAAAUCUACCAGCGGAGUUUCCUGUGACUUCCGGCCUCGGCGAGGCAGGUUCAGGCAGCCUCAGGCUCAGCCCAUGGGAGAGGCCUCCUCCCAAUCACAGACCCUUCCUGGUGCCAGAGCUUGGAAGAACUGCCGCAGGGUAGAAAAGGACCUCAGGGCAGCGCGGCUCGCAGAGCAGCCGGCCCGGUGCCAGGAGGAGGAGACGGCGCUAGCAAAGGAACUCGCAGAGUGUUGAGCAAUUGGAGUAAAUCAUCCUGAUGCCAGGCCGCCGGGCAGUUCUCCACAGGGUGGGGCCCACGGGGGCCGUUCCUGCACAUGGAAAACUUCGUGAGGUUCGGAUCCUGGGCACAGACCUACACACCGCUCAUCAAACCAUGUUGUGGCAGCGUCCCACAUAUAAAAGAGAGGAACAUUGGCAACAGAUGUUAGCUCAGGGCCAAUCUUCCUCACAAAAGGAAAAAGAAGAAGAAGAAGAAUGCAACAAAUUCAAUAGAAGUCUGGCUUAAGGGUCAGGAGAUCAGGACUCGAAUCUUGACUCUGCAAAUGAUACCUAGAUGAUUUUGAACAAGUCACUUCCCCUCUUGGAGCCUUAGAUCCCUCAUCUGUACACUGAGGGCACUGACUACAAAUCCUCCAAGUUGGCAGCCAGAGCUGACAUCCUGUGAUGCUGUGAAUGGACACAUGGCCAAUAAUGGCCUAGGAUAAAUGACACCUUAAUUUCUCCCUCGUCACAUACCUUCUUAGUUAGACCAAAACUACCGAGAGUGUAGUCAUUGACUUCUAGAUGUGUCACUCAUCAAUUAAUUUGAAAGUUUAUAAUUUUGUUUCUUUAGUGCAGUUAUUUGUCAAAUUGACUUUUUAAAUGCAUGGCCAUCUAUUCCUUUGUGGAUUCAGAAUAACUUAUUAAACAAACUUGGGUAAAGAAAAGAGGUAACAAAGUACCAGGCUAGAUUGCCAUGGCACAGGCGAGCAGGGAAGAAAAGCCACACACAUGGACCCACCAAACAGGACACGGUUUGAGCUCCCUGGAGAGCUGUUUGCUCAGGGCAGAGAGGGAGGUGUGGAAGCAAGGAUCUUUCUGGGCAAGGGUCGAUGGGGAAAGAAGAGGUUUCAGCUGAACUUCAGAAGGUGGUAAGGAGUUCAGUGGGCAGAAAUGAGAGCAGGGAUUCCAGAGGCAGAGCCAUCCGAAGCGCAAGGCCUCCUGGAUGCAUGAUGAGGACGCUCCGAGGGUCGGAGGAAGAAGGAAAAUGAAAUGGUUGAGUCUGGACAAAGCCUGUAGAUAUAGGCAAGGGAAGUCAUUGGUCUGUCUCCAAGAGCUCAAAGCCAGAAAGUUCCCAAAUUCAAGUGCGACAGAG